UAAUGCCCUUAUCUCGUUCAAGAAUUCCUUUUGACAUGUCCUCUCGCUGUCACGAUAAUGGUGGAGCUUCUUCACCGCUACUGUGCUUCCUGAUGGCAAAUUUGCUUUGUAGACGCUGCCAUAUCCUCCCUUCCCAAUGCAAUAUACAACAUUAAAACUAUCGGUGGAUUUUAUGAUUUCGUCAUGCAUGAUUCUUCCAUCAGAACUCGAAAUUGAAAAUGAUUCUUCAUCCCCUUGAUCACUUUGUUCUGUUUUUGGAUCUUCAUUUCUUUUUCGACAGAAGAAGAAAACUCCCAAGAAACUGAGAAGCGAAAAAGCUCCGCAAAUAGGGAGGAAAAUUAUUAGAAACAACAUUUUAUGGCUCCUACUGGAGGUAGUACGUUUGUUGGUCCAAGAAUUGCAUGGUGUGAGUCCUGGGACAUCCCCACACAAUCCCUUGUUCCCUUGAAAUGCUUCCAUGGAAGCAUUUUGAAAUGCUUUGUUGGAAGGAAUG
rnacentral:misc_RNA from 1 species